rnacentral:rRNA from 1 species
UACGGAGGAUCCAAGCGUUAUCCGGAAUCAUUGGGCUUAAAGGGUCCGUAGGCGGUUUAGUAAGUCCGUGGUGAAAGCCCAUCGCUCAACGGUGGAAAGGCCAUUGAUACUGCUGAACUUGAAUUAUUAGGAAGUAACUAGAAUAUGUAGUGUAGCGGUGAAAUGCUUAGAGAUUACAUGGAAUACCAAUUGCGAAGGCAGGUUACUGCGAAUGGAUUGACGCUGAUGGACGAAAGCGUGGGGAGCGAACAGG